AGUGAACGCUGGCGGUAGGCCUAACACAUGCAAGUCGAACGGCAGCACAGGAGAGCUUGCUCUCUGGGUGGCGAGUGGCGGACGGGUGAAGAAUACAUCGGAAUCUACUCUGUCGUGGGGGAUAACGUAGGGAAACUUACGCUAAUACCGCAUACGACCUACGGGUGAAAGCAGGGGACCUUCGGGCCUUGCGCGAUUGAAUGAGCCGAUGUCAGAUUAGCUAGUUGGCGGGGUAAAGGCCCACCAAGGCGACGAUCCGUAGCUGGUCUGAGAGGAUGAUCAGGCACACUGGAACUGAGACACGGUCCAGACUCCGACGGGAGGCAGCAGUGGGGAAUAUUGGACAAUGGGCGCAAGCCUGAUCCAGCCAUACCGCGUGGGUGAAGAAGGCCUUCGGGUUGUAAAGCCCUUUUGUUGGGAAAGAAAUCCAGCUGGCUAAUACCCGGUUGGGAUGACGGUACCCAAAGAAUAAGCACCGGCUAACUUCGUGCCAGCCGCCGCCGUAA
rnacentral:rRNA from 1 species